CAUGGCCUUUUGUUUAUUGAUUUAAGGUCUGGCCUGCCCAAUGAUUUUAAAUGGCCGCGGUAUUUUGACCGUGCAAAGGUAGCAUAAUAAUUAGUUUCUUAAUUGGAAGCUGGUAUGAAAGGUCGGAUGAGAAAAUAACUGUCUCUAUUUAAAUUAAUUAGAACUUUAUUUUUAAGUAAAAAAGCUUAAAUAUUUAUGGAAGACGAGAAGACCCUAUAGAGUUUUAUAUUUAUUUUUAUUUAAGUUUUUAGAAUUUUAAUUUUAAAUAAGAUAUAGUAUUUAGUUGGGGUGAUUGAAAAAUUAAAUUAACUUUUUUUUUAUUUAUACAUUUAUUUAUGAUUAAUUGAUCCUUUUUUUAAGAUUAAAAGAUUAAAUUACCUUAGGGAUAACAGCGUAAUUUUUUUUGAGAGUUCUAAUCGAAAAAAAAGAUUGCGACCUCGAUGUUGGAUUAAAAUAAAUUUAUGGUGUAGAAGCUAUAAAAUUAGGUCUGUUCGACCUUUAAUAUUUUACAUGAUCUGAGUUUAAACCGGCGUGAGCCAGGUCGGUUU
rnacentral:rRNA from 1 species